GGUAUUUGCUCAUUUUCCAGAUGAACCCAGGCAUGGCAGCUGUUGGAGGACACUCUCCUUUUGGGACACUCAGAGCCCAGGAAUAAGGCUGCAGCAAGUCACUGACUCGAAGUUAGGACAAAGUCAGCUGCAGAGUGCACGGUGAAAGAACAGAUACCACUAAACGCCAAGACGGGAAGAUGAGUGAUACAAGCAGCUACUGGCUAGCUGCGUUCAAGCUGCGACGCAUUCCAUUUAUUUUAAUCGCUCCUUCAUUUCGGAAGAAAGCUGGGGAGACGAGGGCAGAGCUACUUCUGCCAGCUCCGUGGGCAUCCGCAGUGCCCCGGCGUGCGGGAGCCCCCGGCGGGGCCGAGACACGAAGCGCGCAGGAGGCGGCAGCGGCAGGGCGCCCGGCCCGGCAGAGCACCUUCCUCUUCCUCCUUCUCCCCUCACAGCCUGCAUUUCG